rnacentral:lncRNA from 1 species
GGCAACCAUGUCUUCAUCUCUCCAGUUUCCUUCAGUUGUUGGCCCCAAACCAGGGGGCUUCCUCCUUGUUCAGCUCCAGCAGAAACCCCUGGCCAUUUGCCUGCUGAUAGGUAGUCUCUACACCUGUCCUGUAGGUAAGUGUCAUAAGUUAUAGUUGUUGGGGAGAUCUGGUUAACUGCUCAUAAACCUUGCUGCCCCAUGUUACAGUUUAUAUCUCGAAGUCCCCUGAAAGCAUCAUGUACUCAUAGGUGGGGCUCUUGGGAGGUGACUGGAUCACAGGGCAUGAUACUCAUCAGUGGAUGAGUCCACUGAUGUGUUUAUAGCUAAAUUGAUGUUGGGAAGUACAGCCUGGUUGGAGGAGGUGGGUCACUAUAGGUAGGCGUGGCCUGGAAGGAUCUAUCGCCCUUCUUCCUCCUUUGAUCUCUUUGCCUCCUGACUGCCAUGCCAUGAAGGUACUUUUCCUCUGUCGUGGCCCUCUGCCGUGCCACCCUGCCUCGGAGCCAGCCAAUUAUGGACUGAAAUCUCUACAAGCUGUGAGCCCAAAUAAGCCUUUCCUCCUUUAAAUUAUGGAUGCUGGUAUUGUGUCUGAGCAAGGAGAAAGUAACUAAGAUACUUGUCCAUUAUCUUUCUAUAAUACAAUGAGAAAAAAAGCAAGAAUUUUCUGCUCUUUUCACUGAUGUUUCUGAUUGCAAAAACAUAACUAUUUUCUGUUGCCACAGACUAGGAAAUUUAUAAAGAAUGAAGUUUUAUUUCACCCAUGGUUUUGAAGGCUGAACUUUGAGAUCUGGCAGCUGCACUUGGUGAGGUCCUUUCUGCUGGUGGGGACUUUCUACUGCAUCCUGAGUCAAGCACAGAGCAUGGCAAGAAAAACCACUUUAUCUCUGUGGCCUGUAUCCGCAGACCUACUUGUUGCUGUGACCAUGUGGGGGCCUUACCUGUGUACCUAUCUACAUUUUCCACUAGACCACCAGCACCCGAAGAAAGAAAGUGAGUGUUCCUUAUUACAGUGUCUCCCUGACGGGGCACAGUUCCCGGGUCAUAGCAGCCCUCGGUAAAUCUUUCAUUGAUUGCACAUAUUACAGUUUACAUCUAGCAC